AGCUUUGCACAGUGGCAAUAUCGUAGCCAAUGAGGUUUAUCCAAGGCAUGAUUAUUGCUAAUUGAAAACUUUUCCCAAUACCCCACCACAACGACUUGAAAUAUAGUCAGCACUGGCAAUAUUUGAGUCUCUACAGAGA
rnacentral:snRNA from 1 species